UCUCCGUUGGUGAACCAGCGGAGGGAUCAUUACAGGACUCGCAAGACUCCUACAACCCUGUGAACUUAACUAUAAGCACGUUGCUUCGGCGGGUGUCUCGGAGGGGAUUUUCCCUCCCCGGGACGCUAAACCCGCCGGCGACCUACUAUACUCUGUCUCUUUGCGUUGGCAUCUCGAGUACAAUCAAACAAGUUAAAACUUUCAACAACGGAUCUCUUGGUACUG
rnacentral:misc_RNA from 1 species